UACGGAGGAGGCAAGCGUUAUCCGGAAUUAUUGGGCGUAAAGCGUCCGCAGGUGGCACUCCAAGUCUGUCGUCAAAGACUGGGGCUUAACCCUGGAAAGGCGGUGGAAACUGAACAGCUAGAGUAUGGUAGGGGCAGAGGGAAUUCCUGGUGUAGCGGUGAAAUGCGUAGAGAUCAGGAAGAACAUCGGUGGCGAAGGCGCUCUGCUGGACCAUAACUGACACUCAGGGACGAAAGCUAGGGGAGCGAAUGGG
rnacentral:rRNA from 1 species